GAUAUAUAUAUAUACUUUAUUAUUAAUUAUUGUAAUCAAACAAUUAGUUUCUUUUUAGAUGAUUACUGCGUUAUAUCAAGGCUUUUAGAAGAUAAGGAUGUUUACUCAGGUGGUUGUCCAUGUCCGGAUGGAACGACUUGUAAAAUCGGUAAAAAUUUCUUCGAUAUCGUUUUAAAGUGUAGAGAAGAUAAAGUAAAACCUACAAAAGAACCAGAAGAGCCAGAAACA